GCGAGAGUGGCGGAACUGGCAGACGCGCUGGACUUAGGAUCCAGUGGGGGAAACUCCUUGGGGGUUCAACUCCCCCCUCUCGCACCA
rnacentral:tRNA from 1 species